rnacentral:lncRNA from 1 species
AGUACACCCUGAUGUACCUGCGCGCCUCUCUAUCCAAUCUAGCCUCUUUAAUUAUUACAUACACCAAUCUACGCUGGUAGCGUAUGAUACCUUCUUACCUAAAGAGGGAUAUAGAACGUCAUCAUUCAACGGUAUUGGGGACAAAGAAAACGUUGUUACCGUGAAAACCACAACAUCAUUCUAGUGCUACAUUAAUUUCCCUAAUUUCAUUACUUAUCACCUAUUAUGUACAUUUAAACCAAUUUGAAAUUGUGCUAUUUAACUAUAAUUCACUUAAGUGUCGCCUUAAGCCUACAAAGUGCAUUACCAUAACCCUAAAUCUAUUCACAUUGAGAACCUACAUGCAAAGGCUAGAAGAUCGAAGCUCAAAGCUCGCAUGAUCACUGAAACAUUAUCCAAUAGCGCACAACGGGACUAAACGAAUUUAAUAAUAGCCACAUUUAAACGUAAAUCCUACGUGUCCGGUCGUUUGUGGUAUUAUUAUCUUGGAAAUAAACCCUGUGCAGUUUUACGUUGGGCAAAUUCCCAACAUCUUAUUAAAUUCGUUUAUAUUAACGAAUCGGUCAAUUCGGUCAUGUCGAGCCGCGGUCGGUCAAAUAAAGGCAGUAAUGCCGGUGGGGGUGAUAGUGAUGCGAAUGGUGGUGCAACUAAUGGUGCGAUUGGUGGCAUAACUGAAGGUGGUGCAACUGGUGGUUUAAGGGUGGUGGUCACCGACGAAACCGUGGAACCGG